CUUUGUCUCAUCCUUCCACACAACUUUUCAAUAUUGAAGUUUCCUGUAUCCAGAAUCAUACUAGGUGAUUGAAAAAUCUAGCGGAAAAAAAUACCUCCGCUAAAAGCGGAUCGUAGCGAGGCGAGGAGGCUUCCCUUUGUGCUCCGCCAGCGCCGCCAUUGGUUUCCUCUUCCUCCGUCAGCCGCUCCAGCGACGGGAGGGGGGGCCUCGGAUCUGUGCAUCGGUUGUGUUCACAGUAGGGCUAGGGUUGAGGGAGACGUUGCCGAGUCCGUUGCGGCGGUGUUGCAUCUGAAUAAGUUUUCUCGGGCUUCGUACACGGUCCGGCGUGGCUCUUUCCUGCGUCUAGGAGCCAGCGAGGUUGGGGAUCCCCGGAUGUCAUUGAGGUCGCAGGCUAUGGUGUCUCAAGGUCGAUCGGCACUGGUCGGGCAAGUCCUCGGGUGGUUGGUGGUUUUGCAGAGAUGGAGCUUCUUCUUCCUCCUUGUCGGUAUGAUCUACUGUUGUUGUUCAUCCUUUUUCUUUGUGCUAAUGCUGGAGGGAUGUUCUGCUUUGCCAGGGCAGUUUCCCUGGCCGUGGCGCCGGAACCGGAUCCUAGUUCUCUUCCAACCAGAAGGGGCAGCACAUAUGGCGGUAUUCAAAGCCACUGAUGACGAAGGCUGGUGCAGACUUGUUGGAUACACAGGUGUGUCCUUGUUUUUUUGGCGCCAGAGCAAAGAAAAGGCGGAGCAGUGUGGCGAUUAUGAUGUUGUGGUUGAAGAUGAUGUCCUGCUUCUCGUUUUAGAUUCUUUUGUUGUAGGGGUCUUUCGCAAGGUUCAGGGGUGACGACACAGAGCUCCAAAGAUCUUCCUAUUUUUCUAGUUGUGUUAGGGUGCUCUUUGUUAUUUUGCUUAAUCAUGAUUGUGUUAGCGUGUGCUUGUACGGUUGAAGAUUAUGUAUUGUUUCGUGAUACGAAUACAAGCAUACUUUCUCAAACAAACAAAAAAUCAUACCAGGUGACAAAAAUACGAGGCAACUAUCUUAAUGCAGUGAAUCACAAGUGAUCGUUGCAUCGAACGAGCCUAAUGCAGGCAUCUAAACACGAGCUUUCUUUCCUACUCACAUACUACUACAACACAGACAGCCAAACUCCAGGUUCAAUCUUUUGUUUCUUCUUCCUGCGGUGCAG
rnacentral:lncRNA from 1 species